GACGAACGCUGGCGGCGUGCCUAAUACAUGCAAGUCGAACGCUCAAGCGAGGAGUUUGCUCCUGUUGGUUGAGUUGCGAACGGGGGAGUAACGCGGAGGUAACCUGCCUUGUAGCGGGGGAAAACUAUGGGAAACGAUAUCUAAACCCGCAUAACAAUGGAUUACACAUGUCAUUUAUUUGAAAGGGGCAAUUGCUCCACUACAAGAUGGACCCGCGGUGUAUUAGCUAGUAGGUGAGGUAAUGGCUCACCUAGGCGACGAUACAUAGCCGACCUGAGAGGGUGAUCGGCCACACUGGGACUGAGACACGGCCCAGACUCCUACGGGAGGCAGCAGUAGGGAAUCUUCGGCAAUGGGGGCAAGCCUGACCGAGCAACGCCGCGUGAGUGAAGAAGGUUUUCGGAUCGUAAAGCUCUGUUGUAAGGGAAGAACGAGUGUGAGAGUGAAAAGUUGGCACCUUGACGGUACCUUACCAGAAAGGGACGGCUAACUACGUG
rnacentral:rRNA from 1 species